UACGUAGGAGGCUAGCGUUAUCCGGAUUUACUGGGCGUAAAGAGGGCGCGGGCGGCUUUUCAAGUCGGAUGUAAAAUCUCCCGGCUCAACUGGGAGGGACCAUUCGAAACUGCUGGGCUAGAGUGCAGCAGAGGGAGGUGGAAUUCCCGGUGUAGUGGUGAAAUGCGUAGAUAUCGGGAGGAACACCAGUGGCGAAGGCGACCUUCUGGGCUGUUACUGACGCUGAGGCCCAAUAGCGUGGGGAG
rnacentral:rRNA from 1 species